rnacentral:rRNA from 1 species
CCUACGGGAGGCAGCAGUAAGGAAUAUUGGACAAUGGUCGCAAGACUGAUCCAGCCAUGCCGCGUGCAGGAUGACUGCCCUAUGGGUUGUAAACUGCUUUUGUACGGGAAUAAACCCCUCUACGUGUAGAGGGCUGAAUGUACCGUAAGAAUAAGGGUCGGCUAACUUCGUGCCAGCAGCCGCGGUAAGACGAAGGACCCAAGCGUUAUCCGGAUUCAUUGGGUUUAAAGGGUGCGUAGGCGGAUUGAUAAGUCAGUGGUGAAAGCCUGUUGCUUAACAACAGAACUGCCAUUGAUACUGUCUAUCUUGAAUAUGGUUGAUGUGGGCGGAAUAUGACAUGUAGCGGUGAAAUGCUUAGAUAUGUCAUAGAACACCGAUUGCGAAGGCAGCUCACAAAGCCAUUAUUGACGCUGAGGCACGAAAGCGUGGGGAUCAAACAGGAUUAGAUACCCUGGUAGUCCACGCUGUAAACUUUGAUCACUCGCUGUUGGCGAUACACUGUCAGCGGCUAAGCGAAAGCGUUAAAGUGAUUCACCUUGGGGAGUACGAUUCGCAGAUUGAAACUUCAAAGGAAUUGACGGNGNGAGAGNGCGAGGACGACACGAGGAGAAGG